rnacentral:lncRNA from 1 species
GGAGAGGCAGAUGGAGUAGCCCCACUUAUUAUCACUCCCAAUGACCCCAAUUGGGGGAUUUUGCAUUUCUCAUCCCUGCACCUUUGGCAUCUUUAGGGCUGGAGUCCUGGUCGCCAAAGGGGGAGCACUCUUUCCAGAGGACACAGCAAGGUCCAGCUGAACCACAAGCUAAGCUCUCAUCAGGGCGCUUUGGACUCCUCUUGUCCAUGGACCAAUAGGCAAGAAUUGGAGUCACCAUCUUGGCAGAGGAAGAGUAGUCCAUGGGAAACAUGGAGGAGCUGCUCCCUGAACCUGCAUGGAGACACCGAUUUGCACAGUUCAAGGUGUAACUGUGAUGGCCAUGAAAAUGCACCACACAGAUCUCUUACUGUAAGGAACAGAGUUGAUUGACAGACCCAGCCACUGCUCCUCUGGAUGGACCAUCAUAUUCACACUGAGGCUACUCUUUCUGGGCUGCUCUCAGCUGGGGAUUGACGAGUCAAAUGUCGGGAGGAACUGAACCACC